rnacentral:lncRNA from 1 species
UCGAUACAGGUCUGGAAAGACAAUUAAAACACUUUAUUAACCAAAAGAAAUCUAAUAUUUCAAAUCUAAAACAGGAAAUGGGAAAUAUUACCCGUGAAAGUUGUGACGACAACCUCGUAAAAUUGACCGAGUUUCACAUUUGCAAAAUCAACAGGUUCAACAUUUCCAUUUGCAUUUGUCAUUUCCGAUGACCAUUGGCUUGAAACACCAUCAAAAUCGGAUUCUUAAGCCUUCUCUUCCCCGUCUUUAUCCACAGGGAGAAACUCAAAGUAUGCCAUGUUUGGGAGAAAGGUGUAAGAGAUAUCGUAGGGGUUGCUUAGAGGAUUUAAAUUGAUCCCGAAAGUAGACUCCGAAGAACCAUAACAGCUUGGUGAAACUAAAGGGAUCCCACCACCAUAAAAAUCAAGCAAUGAAAUGUAUUGGCUCAUGGUACCAGUAAUAACGGAAUUAAUAUAUUUUGCUUUAGGCCAAAGUUUCUUAAUAAUCCCUUCCCAUGAUUCAUUACCAUAUAUGUGUUCAAUCGUAUCAGCCAAUUCUGGAUUAGGCCUAGUCAGGAUCGAUGACACUGCGUUCCUACAACCAGGGUCAGUAAUCCAAUCACUAAGGCAACCAGUUCUUAUGUUCGAACACAGUUCGUUCCAGUGAUCUUGUAAGAACUUGAUGCUCCUUGCCAAAACGGAUCCAAAGAUUGAACUGAUUGAAACAACAUGAUCACGUUGCAGCAAACCAGUAAGCAAUUGGCAGUACAUACUUUGCUUGUGAUCCAAGCAGAGAAUCGUCUCAAUAGGACUUGUGCAGAUCUUAGGCACACUUUUCUUGAAGUUAUCGCUCAUGAAAUAGCACGAUGAGAGCGUUCUCACUGUUAAACCUGAUGGAGUUUCACUCCCUUUUUUGACAAAAAAAAGGCUCAUUGUGAUGGCGGCCGUAAGUAGUGUACACCGCACAGAAAGAUACAAAUCCUUUAAAUUAUUGCAUUACAUAAAAAAAUUAUAAGAACUUUUAUAAAUAAAAAAUAAGAAUAUACAUUAAAAGUUAAAAAAUGCAUUUGGUCUCGUAUGAAUUUGGUUAAAUUCUGAUAUUAGUCCCUGUACAUUAUAAAAGCUAUUGAUUUAGUCCAUAUAAUUUAAUUUGGUCAUCUUUAGUCCUUGUACUUUUUAAAUUUGAAAAUUUCAAUUCUCACCAAAUGAUGAUUGUUAAAUUCACUAAGUUAAGUUUUUAUUAUUUCCAAAAUCUGAUGUGCCAAAUAAAUUAUCAUAUAUGUAAUAUCAUGUCAGCUUGUUAUUUCCACAUGUUACUUACAAAAAUAACAGUUAAUGGAUUAACGACUAUCAUUUACGUCAAGAUUGAAAUUUCAAGAUUAACGAUUAUCAGUUAAUGGACUUCUAUUUUCAUUCGUUGGUCUUUGUGAACAUCUCUGCCUUCAAGAUAGUCUUUGGCAGACAUUCCACAUAAGAUAGUCAUUGGUUGACUUUUCGCGUAAGACGGUCUUUGGUGGACUUCCUUUUUGCUGGCGACCUUGUUGCCAAUACACAUUUAGGAAUAAGUUCUGUAGAACCGUCUCACUUCCUUAUGACCCCUGUUGACUUGUCUCUUACCUCUGGUGGACUCUUAUUAACGAAUACUUCUUUGCAAUUACUCUGAAGAAAAUAUCUUUGUUUUUUUCCACACAUAUCUACGCACAAGGCAUUUUUACAUAUUCCUCAUGCCUUCCUAUCUUGACUGCACGUUUGUCUGCGUUCCUAUAUGUUAUAACUAUUGUAACUAACUUCUUCACGAGAGUCAUAUAAGGGUUUCCACAUAUAUACCCCGACUGACUUUCCUGUUUAUUGCCCCGGUGGACUUCAUUUUGUCAAAAGGUGUACCUAUCUUUCAUUGAAUCAUGCCAUGACUCUCCAUGGACUUUCGACUCUGAGGAUUCAAUAAACCUCUUUCGAAGUGACGCUCUGUACAACCUGUAGAUAAUCAUUUCAUGGUGUCACUUCGUAAAGCUUAUAGAUAAUCAUUUUCAUGGUGUCGCUCUAUAGAGCCUGUAGAUAACCAUACCACGAUGCUGCCAAACUUCCUCAAAUCCCCUAUCAAUCUGUCUAUUCCUCCAUUAUGCCAAUUUUUCUAUCUUCAACUAACCCACCAAAGUAACUUCCUUCAUACUCUGCAUUUUAUAUCCAUACAUUUCACGCAUAACAUUAUGCCUACUAUCAUAACAUGUAGUACGCCACAUGUUAAUACAUCAAUACACAACCAUAUUUUGCACCCAGAGAACAUACUUGCAAGCAUUCAUAUAUUUAUAUAGCUUUAUGCAUACAUAACUUUCUCAUUCACCAUAAUAAUAUACAACCAUGGAAUUCAAACUGAACCUAGAGCAAAACAUUCAAGCAGCACCAUAACCAACAAACACCCAAAAGUGGAGUACGAAACUCAUCUGUUAUCCUUCGUCCUCAAUAGCUUAGCUUUUUUAUAUGCCAGAGCGUCCUUCAUCCUAGCAGCUAAGCAUGACAACCAAUUAUAUUGGUUAAACAGAAGGAAUUUGAACUUAAAACCUAGAAUCCAAUAUCUUGUAGAAACUUUUUUCUCAAAUAUUUCAAAAAUCAUUACUUCUCUUUUUCUCAAUUUUACUAAUACAAAGAGAUGAAGAAGCUUACAGCUCACCGGAUUCUCUAUUUUCUAUACUCAAACCUCAUAAUCAUUGUCUCAUGUAGAGCUUUCCUCAACUUUCUCUUCUUCGAAGCAAAUAAAGAAGAUGAUGCAGACGAGAAGAAAAUGAAACAGAAAUGAGAAGAAUUUUACCUCCCGAAAAAUCCUUCUCACACAUAUAUAUAACCAUUCUUGCAUAGUCACCAAAGUCUCAAAUAACCUAUUAUCAGUGAUCAUUCUGCUUCCCACUAAAGAACAAGCUAGUUCCAACUUAAUUGAACCAGAAUUGAGACCUAACUUAUUACCAUUCAGUCACUAAAAUUCCCAGAUUUUUUCAUGGAGCCCACCAACUAAAUAUCCUUUUCAAUUAAUCCCAAAUCUUUCUUAAUUUUGAACCUUAAUAGAAAUUGAGUAUAACAUGCCUCAAACGAGUCGAUUCUAACUCCUUAACAGAUAAGGAAAUUGUUGCUUUACCGAUCACCGUUGAACCCUGUAAAAUGUAAAGACUAUCGGUCUCUCGACCUCUCUUUAGAAUGAGAGCUAUACGAGAUACUUUAAUGCUGAUUAACUUGAUGGUGAUCCUACAACCCUGUAACACCCCUUACCCGUAUCCAACGCCAGAACAGGGUAUGAGGCAUUACCAGAACACUUACACAUGUAAACCUAUUAAACCGAGUUACAAAAUUUCAUUCAAAUUUAAAACUUUCAAAAUUAUUAACAUGCUUUUAUAACUCUUCACAAUAUAUAUAUAAUGCAACAUUUUCUGCCAACCACACUAUCAAAUAAUGGAUUUACUCAAUCGAGCUCAAUAUCAGAUGUCAACUUAUAAUCCAACAUUUAACUCCAAUUGCACUUUCAAAUACUUGUUAAAUUAAGGAUCGUAUUACGGAUUUGAGUACAUUGUUUGCCCGGUGUCACAAUUUGCUUGAAUUUUUCACAAUGCUAUAACUUAUAAAUUUAACGUGGCAUGGUCUAGCCACUACUUGGCCAAAACCUAAGCAUGUAUACCAAAUAUGUACGCCAAAUAUAUAUAUAACAUAAGCAUUAUAAGUAUGGAUGAGCACAACAUUUAUUCAUGUAUCGGGCUUACCAACAUGUUUUAAUUCAUAAACCAUUCAUGGUCUUACUUCAUGCCAAAUCAUGUACCGAAUAAUUUAGCUUUCUUAACACAUUUAUUUGCUUUUACUAUUGCUCACAUAAGAUUUAUAGAGCAUAGAGCCUUGUAUAUAACACUGGCAUAAAGCCUGCUAGGCACCAAGCCCGAUACAUUUCACCGGCACAAAGCCUGCUAGACAUAAAGUCUGAUAUAAUUCACCGGCAUAAAGCCUGCUAGGCAUAAAGCCUGAUAUAAUUCACCGGCAUAAAGCCUGCUAGGCAUAAAGCCUAACAUAAUUCACCGGCAUAAAGCCUGCUAGGCAUAAAGCCUGAUAUAAUUCACCGGCAUAAAGCCUGCUAGGCAUAAAGCCUGAACUUACAAAAUCAGUCUUUCACAUAAUUCACAUCUAAUUUAAAUCAUUCUCGAAAUAUAAUCAAAUCACAAUAUUACAUUCGGCACUAGCUUAUAUAACUUCAAAUAAUUCAUUUCAUACAUUUUAUUGUCCUCCUCCUCCUCUCCAAUCCACAUCCGUUACGUAUAAAACAUGCUUAAAUAGCAUUAUACAUUAUUUCACUAUUCACUUAUAUUAAAAUUUAAAGUUGUCUAUUUGAGUCAGAGUCACUAAAUUAUUUUUAUCCGGAGCUACAGAGCUCCAAAUUAAGAUCUAUAAAUUUUCUUCACAUGAUUUCACAGCAAUAUAAAUUUAAUCACACAUAAAUUUUAAGGUUUGCUUAAUUUCCAGCAAGCUAUCUUUCUGCAUCACAGACACUAAUUUAUUUUUAUCUGGAGCUACAGAGCUCCAAAUUAAGUUCCGUAAAUUUUUGCUGAAACUAGACUAAUAUACCUUUCCACCAUAAAAAUUUCAGAAUUUUUGACUUAGCCAAUUAGUACAGUUUAUUCUUUAAAAUUUCCCCUAUUUCUCUGCUCAACAACUCUGACCUCUCUUCACUAAAAAUUAAAUAUCUCAUUGUACAGAAUUCAAAUGAUGUUUCCAUUUCUUUCUUUUGAAAAUAGACUCAUCAAUGAUUCUAAGCAUAUAAAUUAUAACUCAAAACUAUUUUUUUACAAUUUUUAAUUAUUUUCCAAAGUAAGAACAGGGGAUUCCGAAAUCAAUCCGACCUUGCCUCACUAAAAUUCAAAUAUCUCAAAAUGUAUAACUCUUUUGCUUGCUCUGUUUCUUUCAUAUGAAAAUAUACUUCUUAAGCUUUCAUUUCAAAUCUUAUUCACUCUCUAAUUAAAUUUUCACUAUUUUUGGUGAUUUUUCAAAGUUACACUGUUGUUACUAUCUAAAACUGUUUUGUUGUACAUUUUACUUUUUCAUAAUUUCAUUACUUCUUUUCAUCUUACUCAAGGGUCAAUUAAAUAUCGAACCCAAUAUUUGUCACGUAAACUUAUUCAAUUCACACAUAUUUUCACUUAUCCAAUUUCCCCGAUGAACACUUCGGAAUAUUAACCGUUACACGGUGGAAUCAGCACUUUCCUCAAUACACAUAUACAUUAAAGGCCGAAUACAUAUAUAUUCAAAUAUGCAAUCACAUAAUUCAUAUUUCACAUAACUUCAUAUCAUCAAUUCAAGUAUACAACUUACCUUAUUUUCAAAUAGAUAAUUCAAUUAUCACAUACCUGGUCACUUAGCCUAAUUUAAACAUUCGUACACAACUUAUUUUUACCCGUUGAACCAUUCGGAAUUAAAAAGGAUACUCGGAUAGUCGGAAGGCUCGUACAAUGCCAACGUCCCAGACGUGGUCUUACAUGUAAUCACAUAUGAUGCCACUGUCCCAGAGAGGGUCUUACACAAAUCAAAUACGAUGCCAAUGUCCCGGACAUGGUCUUACACGUAUACACAAGUCGAUGCCAACGUCCCAGACGUGGUCUUACACGAAAAUACAUAUCAAAAUCCUAUGUCAUGACAUAUGUAUCCUAACUAUUCCUAAGGCUCAUACGGGUCUUUCGAAUGUCGUAACUCAGUCGAAACGAACUCAUAAACAUAGAUGCCAGGCUUGUACACAUUCAGCUAAUAUAUAUUUAUUUACAUGUUCAUUUUAGCAGAUAUAAUUCACAUUUAAUAAAAAAAUUAUAACAUCUAUUUGCUUAUAAACUUACCAUCAUGCUUUCAAGUUCAAUUCCUCAUCUUUCUUGGUUUAUAAUAACAUUUUUAACUUAUUUAACACUCACAUUAUUCAAAACAGUCCUUGACUCAACCUUUGGAAAAAUUACAAUUUUGCCCCUAAACUUUUGCAUAUUUCCAAUUCCAUCCCUAGGCUCGAAAAUUAAAUUUCACACCUUAUUCUUAUAUUUUACAGCAUAUUAAACACUUUUCCCUUCUAUGGCAACAUCAAAUUCUCACUCUAACAUACACUUAUGAACAAUAAAUAUUUUUGUAAUUUAGCCCUAAUUACUCAAAUUCAUCAAAAUUUCCAAUACAAAACAUACUAACCCAAAACAUAUCUUCAAUAAUUCAUCAUCAAACAUCACAAAACACAAUUAUUCAUCAAAAUCAGAAAUUGAAGCAUGGGUCGAGUAGUAUUCGAAACAACGAUCUCAAAAACAUAAAAAUCAUCAAAAACCAAAACCAAAACAUACCUUAAUUUGCUUGAGGAAGGGCCGAAUACCCAGCUGGUUUUCUUCUUUUCUUCCCCUUUUCAUUCGGCAGAAAGAUAAUCCCUCCCUCCACUUUCUUUUGCCUUUCCUUUUUAUUAUAAUAACAUUAUAAUAUAUAAAUUAUUAUUAUAACUUUUAUAAAUAGUAUAAAAACUAUAUAUUUUAAACAUAGUGCCGUCCACUAUCUUUUCAAUGGUCAAAUUGCAACAUAAAACCCCCAUAUUUAAAGAACAACCACUAUUCGACCCCUUUUUGAAAUAACCACAAAAUUUUCAUUUUACGCAAUUUAAUCCUUUUAUUUAAUUGGACACUCAAACGACAAAAUUAAAGCACGAAAUUUUCACACAAGUAAAUUUAUAGAUAAUAAACACAGAAAAAAAUUUUAAAAUAUUUUUCUAACUUGGAUUCGUUGUCCCGAAACCACUAUUCUGACUAGGGUCAAAAUCGGGUUGUUACAAACCCUUCAAGUCUAAAUUUCCCAAGGAGAUGUGAUUCUUUGUCGAGUCAAGCACAUGCCUAAUAUGUGACAUUAUCUUAAUGAUUCUUUUGUGCACCCUGAUCUGAACGGUGCCAAUACCGAUUAUCUUACAGGGUGAAUUGUUCUCCAUAAGCAUAAAUCCACCUUCAACUAGACUAUAUGUGGAGAACAAGUUCUUGUUUAGACACAUAUGGAAAGAGCACCCUGAAUCCAAAAUACACUUGAACAUAAGUUUAGACCUUUUAGUUGUAGACACCAACAACCAAUCAUCACCAUUGUCUUAGGCCACACUAGCAUCAGCUACCUCAGCCUUCUAUUCCUUGUCACUCUUAACAACCCUCCUGUUUUUGUUUUUCAACUUAUAACAUUCUACUUUUAUGUGACCCAACUUAUUGCAGUAGUUACAUGUCUUGUCACAAUUCCUCGACUUCGAUCUUAACCUAGAUUUGUUCUAACCUGGAUCUUUAGGUUGUUGCCUAUCUCUAGCAACCAAAAGUGAAGCUUGACAACCAAACUUGCUACCUAAACCUAACUCAUUAUCAAGCUUUUCCUUACUCGACAAAUUACCUUUCACAUAUUCAAAUGAGAAUUUAUCUCUGCCAUAAAUCAAUGUCUUCCUAAAAGUUUUAUACGAAGGGGGCAAAAGCACAAUAAUAGCAUAACAUGCUCUUCAUAGUUUAUAUCAACCUCGACAUUCUUCAGAUCAUUCAAGAGAGUAACGAAUUGACUGAUGUGACCCUUAAGGUUCUUACCUUUGUCCAUAUGGCAUUUGACGUCAGGCCUAUUUUGCGCUUUCUCCGGUUGCUCGUCGAUCGUCUUUAUAUGUGCCUGUAAAGAGUUUGAUAAAUGCGAGGCGCACCCCACAAUAUGUAAAUUGUAAUAAAAACAAAAAAUUGUAAAAAAAAAAUUAUCAUAAUUUUGUAUAAAUUGAAACUAAAAAAAUAUUAAAAGAGCUAAACUUGUUAAAAAACAAAUUCCAUAACAAGUAUACUUAAGUAUAAUGUACUUUUAAAUUAUUUUACAUCCCGUAAAUGAAUCUUAUAUUUCAACCAAAUGAAUCAAAUAAAAUAAUAUCUUAUUCCACCAAUAAUUUUUCAAUUUUGUAAUGCUUGAACCUAAUCUAAGCGAACCAAACGCUUCGAGUACUUUUACCUUUCUUUUUAAAGAACAAUAUUAUUAUUUAAAAUUUUGAUAUUUUGUAUUUUAUAUGAUAAUUAAAAUAUUCUUUUAUAUUCUAUAUUUUCUAUGACCGUUCGAGAGAUGAAAUUGAUGCAAUCAUGGAUUAACAUUUCAAUCGUUUAAUCGAUGAACCAAUAGAUUGAUAUCAAGAACUAAACUUGAAGAAAUAACUAAAAGCAAAUACAAGCUUCUCAUUGAUUCUUUUACCAAAUUUGCUAAGAAAUUGAACCAGAUUUAGGAUACCAAGGAGACAACACUAGCAUCAAAAGCUAUAUUUAUUUCCAUCAAAGGCUCACCUGCUAAAAAGAUAUAAAAAAACUAAUAAGAUUCCAAGUUCAUGCAAGAUUUCCAUUGCUGAAGAACUUCCCAACAACCCUGGAAUCCAGUAUUUCAAUGGCUUCCUUAAUUUUAAGGCAACAAGAUGUCUUGUAUUGGAGAGGUGCAGCACCCCUCGAUACAAAGAAAUUCAUCAGUUAUUUGAAGGCUUUCGUUUAAGUUGUUGAUCUAUUCAAAAAUUUUUAUUUAAGUUAUUAAACUAUUUUUUUUAAAGACCGAUUAGCAAGGUUAAAGUGGCAAUUCAAUGAACAGUAUGAUAGAUCAAUACUCAUCGAUGAGUAAAGAAUGUAUAUUAGAUCAAGUCAAUCUGAUAGUUGAUGUCGAAGAACGGAGAAGAAAACUGUUUGGAUUUUGAUUCGUAGAUACAUGACAUUUAAAGUUAUUUAAAAAAAAAACCCUAAGUUAUAGAAAAGCAAAGGUAGAAGAGUUUUUUUAUUGGUUUAAGUGGACAAACAAUGAAGGCCAUAUAACAAUAGUUAUAGCAACCCAAUUAUGACUUAAAAGAAAAUUUUUAAAUAAUUCAUUAAUGAUAUUUUGUAGCUUUUUAAUAUUAAUUGACCAAAAUGUCAAACCCACGUCUUCCAAGUCAUUUUUGCUCCACUAAUAUAAACAACGAUACAAAGAAUGUUAAAAAAAAUAAGAAAAUUUGUUAGAAAAGCGGUGAUAGAUUUGUUUUUUAAAUUUUAUGGUGAAGAAGAGUUGGUGAAACCACUAACUCAUCUCCGUUGUCUAGGCUUGUGAGAUCAAUUGGAGUUCAUGAAGUGAAAUGCCUAAGUUUGUUAGCAUUUUCCACAUGAGCUUGUCAUCAUAGAUUGAGAGUUUAGGCCCACGAACAUAAUCUAUCAUCUUGAAACUUUAACUCUUCUUCUCAAAUUGUUUUCGUGAUAAAGUCUGGAACAAAUAAGUUGAGUUUUGAUUUUAUCUGUUUGGAUUUGGAUCUCGUAAUUGGGCCUUGAGAGAAACUAAGCUCAUCUCUAUUAUGGCCUUUGAAUUGGGCUGAAUUGCUCGUAUCAAUAUAAAUUUCAGUAAUUCAGUUAACCGACAAAAAUAUUUUAAUUUGGUUAAUGUGUUCGAAAAAAAUUCAAUUCAAUUAACGGUUAAAAUUUUUACAUUUUAAGUAAUUCUAUCCGGUUAAUCAUUUUACGAUCCAUAUUCACCUUUAUUCUAUGGCACAUGCAUAUGCAAAUUAUAGUUUGCUCAUUACUUGUUCAUAGCUUCCUUGCUCAUUACAUUCAAAUGCAAAGAUUGAUCCACGAACAACGUGCCAAAUUUAAAACAAAUUUAAAAAUCUUUAACAGAUUUAAUAAAAGAAUAUCGAUUUAAUUUACCAUGAUGAAUCACAUCACGAUCGUACUGUCAUGGUCUACCAAGUAACAAGUGGACGGCAUCCAUGGGAACGACAUCACACCAAACAUCAUCAAUGUAAGUCCCAAGUUUAAAAGUGAUCAAGUACUGUUUUACCACACGGACCUCCGAACCUUCGUUAAGCCAUUAAAGAUGGUAUGGUGUAGGGUGUUUGCUACAUGACAAUGCAAGAGAACCCAUAAAGAGUUUGCUACAUUACAAAAAUUGAAGUACCAAAUUAUGUCAAAAAUUAAGACAUAGAGAUUAAAUUUCUAAUUUGGGCAUAUUAUAAGGACUAAAAUUGAAAACUAACUAUUGUUAUAUAAUUUCAAAAAGAAAAAUUAAUAAUUUAGUCAAAAUGAAGUAUUUAAAUUGACGAUGACGUUAAAAAGUUGAUGUAUCACAUUAUGUCAAAAAUUAAAAUUAAAAUAUUAAAAUUUAAAUUUAAGAUGAAUAUAAAAAUCAAAACUAAAAGUUAAGAUAUAAUUUCGAAAAAGAAAUAAUAAGUUGUAUAUUUGGAUAUGUAUAUGUCAAAAAAUUCGAAAGAAAUAUUUAAUGAUAUUAUAAAAAUUAAGUACAAAAUUAUGUUAUAAAUUAGUAAGCUUGAAGUAGAUCUCUCAAAAUAUCUUACAUUGCUCACUUUUAUUUCCCUCAGUAAAUAAGGUUAGAUGCAUGAAUUGUUUGACCAUUAAUUUUGUUUUUGUUUCCCUCAUUUCAAAUAUAUGAAAUUUUUUAUCACUCAAAUAACAGUAAGAGUAAACUACAUCGCAAGUCAUUUUAAAAUUGCAUCGUUCUUAUUUUGGUCAUUCUUAAUUUAGUAACUCUAAUUAAUGUAAUUGCUCAAAUUGGUCACUAAUGUUAAAAUUUUCGUUAAUCCACUAACAAGUUUUUGACAUAACGUUAAGAUUGACCGGCGUGCUAAAUUUAAAACAAAUUUAAAAAUCUUUAUCGAAUUUUAAUAAAAGAAUAUCGAUUUAAUUUACCAUGAUGAAUAACAUCACGAUCGUACUGUCAUGGUCUACCAAGUAACAAGUGGGCGACAUGCAUAGGAACGACAUCACACCAAACAUCAUCAAUGUAAGUCCCAAGUUUAAAAGUGAUCAAGUACUGUUUUACCACACGGACCUCCGAACCUUCGUUAAGCCAUUGAAGGUGGUAUGGUGUAGGGUGUUUGCUACAUGACAAAGCAAGAGAAUCCACAAGGUAGCUACUCACAACGUUAGCACAACUUCCACUAUCAAUGAUAAAUGAGCAAAGUUUACCUUUAAUCAAACACCUCAAAUGGAAUAUAUUACUCCUUUGAAGAUCAUAAUCAUCCUUCAAUUGGAUGUUGAGGGUGCGCCUCACAACUAGACAACGGGGAUGAGUUAGUGGUUCCACCAACUCUUCUUCACCAUAAAAUUUACCUCCAUCACCAUUGAAAGUUGUUUUAUGAAAAAAAAACCCUAAACCAUAGAAGAGCAAGGGCAAAAUAGUUUUCUAUUGGUGUAGGAGGUGUGAACGAUAAAGGCUAUAUAGAAGUGAUUUUAAUAAUCUAGUGACUUAAAUAAAAAAUUUCAAAUAGUACUCUAGUAACCAUUUUAUAACUUUUUAAAGUUAAUUGAGAAAAACGUAACAUUGAAUGUAACUUACUCCAAUCAUUUAUUAUUUUUAUGAUGCUAUUUUUUAUACCAUACCUAAGUCACUCCUAAAGUAAAUGAUAUUAGGUGCUCAAUAAUGUUCAAACCCAUGCCCCCAAUUCUUUUUUGCUCGCUCAAUACCUAAAAAACAGCAGUACAAAGAAUAUAGAAAGAAAGUAAGAGAAAACUGACGAGUGUUAAAACACCUCAAUUUUAGCAAUUUCAGAAGAAUUCAUGCAUAAUUUAUACCAAAUUCAUAAACCCUCAAUCUUAUCAUUAAAAUAGUGCGUUGCUUCAUCUAUUUUAAAAAUUUUGACAAAGUCGAUGAAAUCAAUUACUCAUUUUCAUCUUUCAAAUUACUUCGUUGCAGCACCAUCCAUUUGAAAGUGACUGCUGCAGAUUAUCUUAACUCAAAGCUAAUACAAUAAAUGUAAGGGGAAGAUAAAAAGGCUAAAAGAAAAGUAAUAAAAAUAGGAGUUCUUACUUUCUUCACUAACAAUUCUGCCUUUGUGGAUCCUACCAGAGACUUCAUAAUUUCCCUGUUUUUAUCUUCACUUUCUUCUUACUUCUUCUUCACUGCUUUUAAUUUGUUUCCAUGUCCAAGGUCCAUCACAAAUUUUCAAGCAUCCUGUCAAGGUAAUUUUCUUUCAUUUCCUUAAUUCAUCACAUGCUUUUAUUUGCUUUUGAUUAUCUGCUACUGUUAUAGCAGCUAGCUUUGUAAGAUUGUCAAGGAACUCAACUUCACUGCUUCCUUUUCAGUUCUAAUCUCUCAACACUUUUCAGCCACUGAGUCAGGUAAUAAGAUCUGAAGCAAUGAUUUCCUCUACUGAUUAUCAACAGUUUUAGAUUUUAAGAGUGGAUGACCAGCUGACAUAAUCUACUAUAGAUAGAAAUUAAUACAAAAGAGCUACCCAGAAGCAAUAUAAUGCUGAAAUCUCAAACUGUCAACAUUUUAACUCUUAAUAUUCUGUAAUGAACUCUUGCACACUUGAAUCUAGCAUUUUAUAUACAUCGAGAGCUUGAUUCUGGUAACCAGAAUUUCAUCAUGUUUCUGUCUGCCACCCAUCCAUAGCUCCAUCUAAGAAACGCCAUUGCUUGAAACAUGCAUUCAUGUUUCCUUUUCAUGCUUACACAGACAUAUCAAUACUUCAUCCAAUACAUUCACAGAUUUUCAUUCUCUACUGUUUAUAUAUGAUUGCGUUGCAGGGACAUAGCAAUGGAGUACGUAGAGCCUGUUGCUGGCAUUGCAAAUUGUCUCGGAACUCCUGUUUGUAAAUACUUGCAAUAUCACAGAAAGAUGAACGAUAAUGUGAGAAACUUCAAGAGGAUGAGAGAUGAAUUGAAUUGCAAAAUGGAAGAUAUAGAGCUGCAAUUGAAAGCAGAGCUUCUUCGUCCUCUGGGGAAGAUACCGAAGAAGGGAGUUGAAAAUUGGUUGAAAGAUGUGAAAGAGAUGAUUAAGGAAGCACAAGUUGUUGAAAACAAAGUCAGGAACGGGAGAUAUCUCUGUCGUGCUUGCAACAGCAAGCUGGUUGAAGAAAAGACUCGAGAAAUGGAGGGAUUUCUUGAUAAAGCUCCUAAUGCCUCUGAAGGUCUUGCCAUGGAUGGUCCGAGUGCUGGGUUGCCGCUGCCAACAUCAGAACUAGUUGGAGAGGAAGCUGUCAGAAAUGAGAUUUGGGCAUGUUUGAUGCAGGAGGAGGUGAGCAAGAUUGGGGUUUGGGGGAUGGGCGGCGUGGGUAAAUCGACCAUCAUGAAGCACAUCCACAAUGAUCUUUUGAAAGAAAAACGAUUUGAAAGGGUGGUUUGGGUUACUAUAUCAAAGGAGUUCAAUAUUGUGAAGUUACAAAAUGAUAUUGCAAGUGCAUUGAAUGGACAGAUGCCCGAAGAAGCAAACAAGGUCAGACGAGCAGCAGUCUUGUCCGAAAUGCUGAAGAGAGCAGGAAAACAUGUUCUAAUCCUAGAUGAUGUGUGGAGUGAAGUCUCGUUGGAAGAAAUUGGGAUCCCUAAGCCAAGUAGCAGCAAUGGGUACAAGUUGGUGUUGACAACUCGUGUGGAGCAAGUUUGUAAGUCUAUGGGCUGUAAGGUGAUAAAAGUGAAGCCCCUUUCAGAAGAAGAGGCAUUGAUACUAUUCUUGAGUGAAGUUGGACCUAACAUAGUGCAAAAUCAAACUUUAAUGCCAACUUUUAAGCUGGUUGUCAAGGAAUGUGCAGGUCUGCCUCUUACAAUUGUCGUCAUAGCUGGUACAUUGAGAGGAGAAGAUGAACCUCUUAUUUGGAAAAACACACUCAGGGAAUUGAAAGAGAGAAUAGGGAAAGUGAAAGAAGGGGAAGAUAAAGUGAUCGAGAGUUUGAAAGUUAGCUUCAAUCACUUAAAAGACGAGAAAAUGAAGCAUUGUUUCUUACAUUGCGCAUUAUAUCCUGAAGAUUUUCAAAUUGGGAAGGAUGGGCUAAUUGAGUGCUGGAUUGAAGAGGGAUUCAUAGAUGAUAUAAGUACAAGACAAGAAAUGAAAGAUAAGGGCCAUGUUAUUUUGAAGAAAUUAGAAGAUAAUUGCUUGUUGGAAAAUGUCUCGAGUGAAAGAGUGAAAAUGCAUGAUGCAGUGAGAGACAUGGCAUUGUCGAUCACAAGAAUGAAUCCUCGAUAUAUGAUACAAGCAGGUUUUCAAUUAGAAGAGUUACCAGAAAAGGAGCAAUGGAGUCCGGAUAUUGAGAAAGUGUCACUUAUGUAUAACUCCAUAUCAGAAAUUUCCAUAGAUGUGCUGCCCACAAAAUGUCUACUGCUCACAACCUUGUUAUUGCAGGAGAACCCAAUAAAGAAGAUCUCAGUUUCUUUCUUCACAAACAUGCCUUGUCUUAGUGUUCUCAAUUUGUCCUCUACGAAGAUCAAAAGUUUACCAGAUUCCAUCUCUGAACUAAAGAACCUCACAACAUUGUUGCUUCGUGGCUGUCAAGAAUUAAGAUAUCUGCCAUGUCUUUUGAUGCUUCAAGAAUUGAAGAACUUGGAUCUAAGUUGGACUAGAAUUGAGGAAGUACCUGAAGGCAUGGAUAUGCUGAUAAAGCUAAGAUAUCUUGAGCUUGUAGCGCCCACUCUGAAAGAGAUACCCGCUGGACUUUUACCAAAACUCGUUCACCUUCAGCACUUGGGUUUUCAUGAGGGCAAUGAAAAAACAAGUCUAAAAGCAGAGGAGAUGGAACCAUUGAAGAAGUUGGAGUGCUUUACCAGAAGUUUCGAAGACAUCAAUGAAUUCAAUAAGUUCAUCUCCUCAAUGCAACAAAGUAAGAAAAAUCUCAUCAAGUACUCUUUACAAGUGGGCUUAGCUAAUUUCCUUCAUAGAAGAGAUAAAGGAGUAACAAUUGGAGGAGUCCAGAAUUGGGAAGGUGAGUUAAUUAUGCACCCAAUUGAAAUUCAAGAGUUGAAUAUUAUAAACUGCGACUAUUUGAGAAACUUAGUCGAUGACAAUUCUUCCUUCAAAAAUGCGAUUGACUUGAGGGUUUGUAGGAUUUGGUGGUGUGAAGGGAUAGAGUGUGUUGUUUCCCUGUCCUCUUUUGCCUCUUCUUCCGCGCAUCCAUUUCAGAGCCUCGAGAUGUUAGAUCUUAGAGAUCUGCCAAAGUUGAGUGCCCUUAUUAUGAAAGAUGCAGGAAUUGGUUCAGCAACAACAUCAACAUUGGCUCCGUCUGCCACCUUUUCCCUUCUCAAGGAAAUUACGAUAGUGGAGUGCUCAAGUAUGAAGACGUUGCUUCCACAUUGGUUGCUUCCAAACCUCCAAAACCUGGAAGAAAUAUCAGUGUCACACUGUGAUGAGGUAGUAGAAAUAUUGGGAGCAGCAACAUCAGAAGUUGAAGAAAAAGGGAGUGAUGCAUUAAUCAAAUUCCAUCUUCCCAAAUUGAGAAAGUUGUUAUUCCAGGAUUUACCAAAUUUGAAGAGCAUUUGCAGCAAAAGUGGAGUGAUGGUUAGCGAUUCUCUCCAACUUAUCCAAGUUGUAUACUGUGAUAAACUGAAGAGAAUUCCUCCAUUUGUUCCCCUUGUUGGCAAUGGGCAGCCAUUUGCAUAUGCUCCACCUUCUCUCACCAUCGGGUCAGACACAGAAUGGUGGGAAUCGUUGGAGUGGGAUGACCAUCCAAACUUUAAAAAUGUUCUUCGCUUCGACUCCUUUUGCGGAUAAGAGAGAUAAAAGGGUUGGUGGAAAAGGAGGGGGGAGGAUAGUGCAAAAGAGAGGAGAAAAGGAAUGAUGGAAGGAAGAGGUUAAGAGGCAAAGGUAAAUAAGAAAUCAAACUGCCUCCACUUUUUAAACAUUUUCCCUCUCUUACUCCUAUUCUCUUUUUCUUCUCUAAUAUAUAUAUAUAUAUACACAUAAAUAAGAGAUUUAAAUAUGUUUUAAAUCUUUAUAUUCUCUUAUAUUUUAAAUUUAAUCUCUAUUUAUUUUUAAGAAUUUAGUCUCUUUAUUUUUUGAAUUUAAAAAUUUAGGUCUAGUUAUUAAUAACAUUAAAAUUAUUUUGUUAAAUUUACUGGUGUGACAUGUUGAAAUUUUUUUUAAAAAAUUCUUAUUUGGUAGCUAUGUAACAAAAAAUAAUGACAAUCUAAUAACUUGAAUUUAAUAGAGAAUUUUAACAAUGUUGUCAAUUCUUAAAAAUUUACAUCAACAGUUUAAUUAGAAUACGAUGUUUAGACUAAUUAAUGACAUUAAAAAAAUUGAAGUAUCAAAUUAUGUCAAAAAUUAAGACAUAGAGAUUAAAUUUCCAAUUUGGGCAUAUUAUAAGGACUAAAAUUGAAAACUAACUAUUGUUAUAUAAUUUCAAAAAGAAAAAUCAAUAAUUUAGUCAAAAUGAAGUAUUUAAAUUGACAAUGACAUUAAAAAGUUGAAGUAUCGCCUUAUGUCAAAAAUUAAAAUUAAAAUAUUAAAAUUUAAAUUUAAGCUGAAUAUAAGAAUCAAAAUUAAAAUUUGACAUAUAAUUUCGAAAAAGAAAUAAUAAGUUGUGUGUUUAGAUAUGUAUAUGCCAAUAAAUCGGAACGAAAUAUUUAAUGAUAUUAUAAAAAUUAAAGUACAAAUUUAUGUUAUAAAUUAGUAAGCUUGAAGUAAAUCUCUUAAAAUAUCUUACUUUUUCCUUUUUGAAACAAAACAUAGUUUUCAAAUUUGUAAGCUUCAAGUAAAUAUCUUAAAAUGAUUUACUUCCCUCACUUAAAAGGUUAGAUGCAUGAAUUGUUUCACCAUUAAUUUUGUUUUGUUUCCCUCAUUUAAAAUAUAUUAAAUUCUUUAUCACUCAAAUAACAGUAAGAGUAAACUACAUCGCAAGUCAUUUUAAAAUAGGGUCAUUCUUAUUUUUUUUUGUCAAUUUAGUAACUCUAAUUAAGAUAAUUGUUCAAAUUGGUCACUAACGUUAAAAUUUUCGUUAAUCCACUUACAAACAAGUGAACAGGAUGUAGCGGAAGAAAAUGGAGAGAAAGACUACAGCAAAUCCAGUAAUACUGAGUGUAGUGAUAAGUGAUGACCAGUAAGGUAGAGAAAGGGAAAUAUGGUUGACUAUCAAUCUUAACCAAGAAGUAAGUUUCAGAAAGAAUCCUUUUAAGAGUUCAAAAUGUUGAAAAAUUCAAAAGUGCCAAAAAUCUUAUGUGGCAAAAGGCUCCUAUUUAUAGUUUUUCAAAAAUAGGAGUUACAAAGCUAGUAAUUAAUGAGGGUAUUAAUAGAUAUUUUUAAGAUACAAUUGCAUAUUAAUUAAGAAGUGAUAGUGAAAGGAUUUCCUGGUGAUGUGAUGGUGAAUAAUGAAGAAGAAUUCACUAUGUUUCUAAAAGGAGAGAAAAACACUUAGCAUUAAAAGAAAAGGUUAAGAGGAAGCCUUUUAACUACCUUCAUAUCUGAUGCACCAAGCCAAGCUCUCCAAAACAUUCCAAAAGUGAAGAUAACCCAAGAACUCUACCAUAUUCUGGGGUUACUUCCGUUUCUUCCACUUUGGUGAAGUACCAUGUGAAACAUUUUUCGUGGAAGAUCUCUCAAAAUAUGAGACGAUAUGGUUGUUCUUGGAUGAGAGUUGUUCCUAAAUAAUUAUUUUAACUUGUUCCAAACGUGAGUUGUUCUCAAUAUAAAGGUUAUUCCAAAUAAGAGUUGUUUUGUGGUGAUUUUUUCUUGGUAAAACUUGUUUUGAAUAACGACUCUUUUAGAAAAAAAUAAUUUUUCUAAAUACAAGUUGCUCCAAACAAUGGUUGUUCUAGACAUAGUCAUUCCUGAAACGCUAUUAUUCUAAACAAGAGUUAUUCUCAAAUAACAAUUAUAUUGGAUGACAACUGUUCUAACUAAAACCAUGUUUUCAAAUAUUUAUUCUGGACAAAGUUAUUCUUGAACAACAGUUGUUCUGAAUAAUUAUUCUAAACAAGAGUUGUUACUUCAGAGGAGAUAUGCUUGGUAGAAUAAUUUAUUGAAAUAUAAUAUUUUUUGAUUUCAAGAAAUAGAUAAAAUAUUAGUAGUCAAAAUUGAGUAUUUACAAAAAAUUGAAAACUGAAGUGUUAAAUUUGAUUUAUAAUUUUUUAUUUUACCAUUUUUAUCUUUCCUUUUAACAUUUCAUGUUAAUUUAAUUUACAUAAAUUCUAAACCACUUUGAAUAUACAUAUAAAUAUUUGAAAUAAAUUAUAUUGAUGUUAGGAAAAAAAAUACUCUCUAAAGAAUAAAAAUUAUUUAAAAAAAAACUUAUAUUCAACGAAAAUAUAAUGAUAAUAAAGGCUCAUAUGUAACAAAAAGCCUUUAAGAAAAUGCGAAAAAUUAAUUAUGCUUUUAUAUUAAAUUUAUAUCCAAUUGGGCCCUUGCCGUUAAAUAAAAUUAAUUAAGCCCUCCAUUCAUAAAAUCUUUGGUCAACCGUUAAGAUAAAUUAAUGAAACAAUCAAAAUAAAGACACGUGGUAACUUUUAAUUUAAUCUAAUAUUUUUUCAUACAAAUGUUAAAAAUCAUAAAAACUAGAAUAAAGAGAAAAUAGAAAACAGAAUUAAGUGAUAUAUAAUGCUUAUAAAUUUCAAUUACUUUUCCUUUUUUUCUUUUCUAAUUUUUGGUACAAAAGAAAAGUGCAAUUUACCGAUAAUGUUUUAUUAUUAUUUUUGGCAAUUCCAUAAAUGUCUUUUUUCUUAUGAAAAAUAAUUUUGCCUGCUUCUUGGCUUAAAGUUUGGUGUAAAUUUGAUAAAACUAAAGGUGAUUUUGGAUGGACGGUGAUUGUGGUGUAAUGAAAAUUUUUAUUUCACAGUUAUAGUAACUAAUUUCAUCGCCAACACUAUUUUUAAUUUAACCUUAUCGGAGGUAAUCACAUCCCCAAAGACACCCUAAAUCUGUUUAUAACAAUAAUUAUUAUACUAAUAAUAAAAAAAUGGUAAAAGUACGACAAAACCUUUUAUCUUAUAUAUCGGAUUGCAUUUUAAUUUUUUAUUAAAAAAUUAGCCCAUAUAAAUUAGAUGACUGAGCAAAAUAGUCCUUCCAUUUUGUUGUUUAUAUAUAAGGUAUAAUAAUAAAUUUAGCCCUCAACCUUUACAUAUUUAUUCAAUUUGACCCUUACCUUUUUUAUUGGAAGUAAAUCAGAAAAUUUUGAAACUAAUAAGACUAAAGGGUCAAAAAGGCCUUAGUUAUAAAAUUAAAAAAAAAAAACCAAUCAAACCCAUUUAAAUUUUAAAAGUUAUUAAAAAUCUUAAAAAUUAUAAAUAAAAUUUAAGAAAAUUUAAAAAUAUAUAUUUUUUAUUAAAAAAAAGCAACACCUACCCAUUAAAAUAUAAUGGUUUGAAGAUAUUUUAAAAACAAUUGACCCUACUCUUUUAUUGAGUCGGCAUUGUUAUUUUUUAAUAAUUUUUUUAUAAUUUUUAAAAAUCUUAAAAAUUUUAGCUUAAUUAAUUUUUUUUUUAAAUUUGUUACAAAGACCUUCUUGACCCAUUAGCUUCAUUAGUUUAAUUUUUUUUUAAUUUACUUUCAAUAAAAAAGUAUAGGUCAAAUUGAAUAAAUAUGUAAAAUUUAGAACUAAAUUUGUUAUUAUACCUUAUAUAUAAACACCAAAAUGGAAGGACUGUUUUGCUCACUCAUUUAACGUAUAAGGGCUAAUUUGCCAUUUUUUUAAAUAGAGAAGACAAAACCAAAUUUAACUCCUAAAUUCCCUUUUUCGAUGACUUUUUCAAGUCUUCCAUACAAAAUUAGACAGAAUAAUUAAGAAUAGAGGCUAUACCAAGUUGAUAAGGUCAUUCUAUUUUGCUUUUCCUCUUCUUCAGAAAGCUCCCAGAAAAACAGAAACUGAAGAAGAUAUAGCAGCCGUUCCCUUUUUUUUUUUUUGAAAGUCGAUAUGUCAAACACGAAUAUUUCAGAGACGAUUCCGUUUUUACCGGAGAUCGAUGAUAACAAGGACGAAGAUGGGAGGUGGUGGAAGAAUGUUUUGGAUUUGGAAGAGGCGAAGAAACAAGUGUUGUUUUCACUUCCAAUGAUUGUGACGAAUGUUGUGUAUUAUUCCAUAACUUUGGUGUCUGUCAUGUUUGCCGGUCACCUUGGGGAGCUUCAGCUUGCUGGUGCCACGCUUGCUAGUUCUUGGGCCACCGUCACUGGCUUUGCUUUCAUGGUUAGUUUUCACUAUUUUCUCAUUAUUCUUUAGGAUAACUUACCUAGCCCCUUAACUAUGGUUUUUUACUUUUUUUAGUCAUCUAAUUAUGAAAAGUUACAAAAUAAUCACCCAAUUAUUAGUAUUUUUUUUAUUACCAAAUUAUAAUAAGUUACAAAAAUGAUCAUUUAACAAUUCAAUUUUGUCUUUUUUGGUCACACAACUAUAUUAGAUUUUGGAGUGUUUCCAUUUUUACGUUAGUCAGUUGGUGACCAAAAAAGAGAAAAACAUCAUAGUUGGGUUACAUUUAUAGUAGUUUACCCUUUUUUUAAUAUAUCAUGUUUAUUUUACAAUCCAUAUUUGGAGUUUGUGACUCUCUUUUCUAAUAAUAUUGUCUCCGAGAUCUGAACUCGUAUUCUCUCAUUAAGAGUGCAAUCUAUAUUAGCAUUACACAUACUCUUAUUGAUUAUUUUAUCAUAAAGUUAAUAUACUAUUUGGUACCUAUAUUUGGCUUGAAUGUUUUAUUUGGUACUUCAACCUUUUUUGUCCCAAUUUGGUACCUGAGUUUGGCUUCAAUGUUCAAUUUAGUGCCUAAGAUUUUUCAAAUUGAUACUUGAGUUUUUCUUUGUCCCAUGCAAAUACUUAAGUUUGACUUCAAUAUUCAAUUUAGUACUUGAGUUUUUCUUUUGCCCCGAUUAAGUAUCUAUGUUUUUUUUUUUACUAAAACACACUUGUCAAAUAUUUAUUGGACAAAUUAAACAUUAAAAUCAAACUUAAAUACUAAAUUGAGACAAAAGUACCUCACAUGCCAAAUGGACCUUUGAAAUUAAAUAUAGGUACCAAAUGUAUAUAUUAACCCUUUUAUCAUAACUUCAACAUUUUGUUUUUGUGGAUUUACUUGUUUGUUAGACAGGAUUAAGUGGAGCACUGGAAACACUUUGUGGUCAAGGAUUUGGUGCCAAAAUUUACAGAAUAUUGGGAAUUUACCUCCAAUCCUCAUGCAUAAUUUCCUGUUCUUUCGCCAUUCUAAUAUCAAUCUUAUGGUUCUUCACCGAGCCCAUAUUGAUCUUCCUUCAACAAGACGCCGAAAUCUCCAAAACGGCGGCGCUUUACAUCAAAUAUCUCAUCCCAGGCUUAUUUGCUUACGGAUUGGUACAAAACAUACUGAGAUUCCUUCAGUCGCAAAGUAUUUUAAUGCCUCUGGUGUGGUUUUCGGUUCUGCCAUUGGCACUUCAUUUGGGCAUCGUUUACGCAUUGGUUAAUUGGACGGAUCUGGGUUUCAAAGGAGCUCCAUUGGCAGCUUCGAUUUCGCUGUGGAUUUCACUUGUUUUCUUAUCGUCUUAUGUGGUUUUGGCCCAGAGAUUUGAGGAAACAUGGCCGGGAUUGUCGUCGGAAUCGUUUCGUUUGGUCUUCGCGAACCUGAAACUCGCCAUCCCUUCUGCGGCAAUGGUUUGGUGAGUUCAUUUUUUCCAAAUUAAAUUAUACAAUUUUGAAGAGUCAAACAAAAUUUGUCAUUGUAUUAUUUUAUAAUUUUUCAUUUUUUAAAGGACUAAACUUCUAAAAUUAUUAUUUUUGGCCUAAAGACAUAAGUCUAAUUAUUUUGAGUUGGGUUAAAUCUCAAAAUUAUACAUGAAUUUUGAUUUAACGUGCAAUUGUAUACAUGAACUUUAAUUUAGUAUAAUUAUAUGCGUGAAACUUUAAUUGUGUUUCAAAUAUAUACUUGAAAUUUUAAUUUUGAUUUAAUCAUACACAUUUAAAGAAAUAAACUUAUUUAUUUAUUUUUAUAUUGGAUAAAUAUAAUUAUUUAUGCAUAUGAUAUAUAAACAUAAAAUGAUGUUAUAUUAAUAAUCGUGUUAAUAAGUUACAAGAAUUGGAUCAAAUCAAAAUUUUAUGUAUACAAUUGCACAUUAAACCAUAGUUCAUGUAUAAUUUUGGUACAUAUCCUUUUUGAGCUUGAGUCAAAAGUAAGCAUUUGAUUAUUUUAAUCAGUUAGAUUUUUUUCCCUAAUUUAACUGACUUAAUCGGUCUUAAUAUAAAAUAACCGAACCGAUCGACUAAGAUAUUGUUAACCGAUUUCAUUACUAAGAUGUCAUUAAUUGGGUUUGGGUCGGUUUUCGGGUUGGGUUAGGUUAGAUAAUUGGAUUUUAAGUUUGGGUAAUUUAAAUUAUAUCACAUAUUACAAAUAUAUUUAAAAUAAUUUAAAAAUAAUAAAUAAAUAAAUAAAAGUCAGUUAAGUUGAUCAAUUCGAUUAUAAAUUUUAGUCAUCAGUACUCCACUGUCCAAAUCGACAAAACUGAAUUAAUUAAAAUGAAUCAAAUCGUCAAUUAAGUCGAUUAAAUCAGUCAUAACUGAAUAAUACUCUUUCCUAAUUUGAGUUAUUCGGAUUUUGUGGUCAAUUUUUAAGUCGGAAAAAUUAGAAUUAAGUUCUUUUGAAUUCAAAUUAGUCUAAAUUAGAGUUAUUUUCAUUUUGGAUUUGAAUUUAACUAUUAAAAAUAAUGAUGUCAACUAAAUUAAAAUUUAGAUAAUUUUUUAAAAUUAUUUUGAGCAGUUUGGAAUAUUGGGCGUUCGAGCUUCUGGUACUAUUAGCAGGAUUGAUGCCUAAUUCAGAAGUAACUACUUCCUUGAUUGCCAUGUGGUAUGCUUGCCUUUUAAGGGUGAAUCCAGAAAAUCUUUUUGAGGGGGCCGAAAUGAAAUUUUAAUUUUUAAUAAUUUAUAUCUUUAUAAUUUUUAAAUGAUUAAAUUACUUUUUUUAAUUUUAAGGGGUUAAAGUGUAAUUUUAUCUUUAUUAAUUUAAAACUUUUUAUUUUAAGGAGCCUGGCCAUACAAGCCCCUGGAUUCGCCUCUGCUUCCAUUUUUAUACUUUUCACUGGAUCUAUUUAAAGAUUUCAAGAUUAAUGGGAUUUGAGUAAAAUAUUUUGCUUCAGUGUGAAUACAGAAUCAAUUGCGUACAUGAUUACUUACGGGCUUAGUGCUGCAGCAAGGUGAGUUCAAUUUUAUUAUUAUUUUAAUUAAUUUACGGAUUUUAAGCUAAUUUAAUUGAAAUAGCACGAGGGUUUCGAAUGAAUUGGGGGCUGAGAAUCCGAGGAAGGCAAAGACCGCCAUGGCUGUGUCACUCAAGCUUUCAAUCCUUCUCGCUCUAACAGUGGUUGUUGCAUUAGCAUUUGGGCAUAACAUAUGGGCUGCUUUCUUCACCAACACUGCUUCCAUUAUUAACCAAUUUGCUUCAAUCACACCCUUCCUUUUAAUCUCCAUUACCAUCGAUUCUUUUCAAGGCAUCUUAUCAGGUAAUUUCAAAAACAAAAAACAAACAAUUUAGUGAAGAAAUGGAAGGAUUAAAAUGAAAUGAAUAAAAUGUUGCAGGGGUGGCCAGAGGAAGCGGGUGGCAGGUGUUGGCUGUGUGGGCCAACUUGGGGACCUUUUAUUUAAUUGGAAUGCCAGUUGCAGGGCUUCUUGCUUUUAAGUUUAAGCUUUAUGCUAAGGUGAGUGUCUCAGCUAGAUAUCAGUUUACCUGCUCUAUUUAAUUUAUUCCAUUUAAUUAAAUAAAUUAUUUAAAAAUAUAAUUUUUUUUCGUAAGUCGUCUGGUUAAAUAAUUUUGUUCUCAAUCUUUCCUUAAUUAUUCACAUUUUAAUGGAAUUUAACCUUUUUUUAUAUAUUUUUUUCUUUCAUCAGGGUUUGUGGGUAGGGUUGAUAUGUGGUCUUUCAUGCCAAGCUACUGCCCUCCUGCUUAUUACUUUGUGUAGAAAAUGGGCUAAAAUUGAGCUUUCCUAACAAAUUAAUAUUCAACCAUAGUUAAAUCUUAACUAAUCUUCAUACUUUAUGGGUAUUCAUUUGUCGAGACUUAUUUAAAAUAGUGAAUUUGAAAUUUAAAUGAUUUGAGUUUGUUGAUACAUGAAAUAAAGGAGGGAAAGGGUUUUCUAGUGAAGAAGCAAGGAAGAAGAUCAUAGAAUGGAAUGUCUAAAGUGUCGUCCCUUAAAGAGGAUUUUUAAAAAUAUAUAUAAGAGAAGUUUUUCGAGUCAGAGUCUGGAUGGAGUUAUGAUAUAUUUUACUAUAAUUAUAUAACAAUGUUCAAAUUUUGUCAUGUUUUUUGUUCUAAUAUUGGAGAUCGAUCCUUUUAAUAACAAAGUGACUAGAAAUAAUAAUCGGAUAUUUACAAAAUUUUUAAAUAAAUUCUCUUGAUUUACCUAAAUAAGUUUUCUUAUGUGUUUAUUACCUACAUAUUAUUAUUUCAAUGAUUAAAAUAGCAAUUCUCUUUGAAUAUUAUUUUCACCUACAAAAUUACUUCCACAAUGACUGUCGGUGUAACAGCCUAAUUUUCAGUGGUGUCGGAAACAGUGAUUCGAGAUCACUAAAUUCAACCAAUGAGUUUUAAAAUUUAAUAAAUAAAUACAUAUGAGUCAAGUGUGAUUAUAGAAGAAUUUUGGAUUAGUGAAUUUUGUGAUUUAAAAAGAAAUUAAUAAGUAAAUUCGGUCUAAAACGAGGUAUCGAAACCUCGAACUGAUAAAUCGAGCCAUAAAUAUUUUUAGAAAUAUUUAUAGAGUGUCAUUGAGUUGGUAUUAAAGUUUCGUUAGAAAAUUCUAACAUUUGGAUGGUCAAUUAAUUAAAAGUACUAAAUUGAAAACAGUGCAAAAUAUGUUAAAUUAUGAUUAAAUAGCUUAAGUGACUAAUAAGGAGGGAUUUAAAAGGCAAUUAGGCCCAAAUUAUAUGGGCUGGACGGUUUGGGCAAGAAAAUCAGCAAGAAAACAAGGAGAAACAAGGGCAAAAUUAGAAAUUUAGCAAAUUAAACAUAUAAGACAAAGACAAAAUUGAAAAAUCUAGAGAUUUAUUCAUAAUUCAUCAGAAAAUACGCCAUACGAGGUCUGAAACAAGCUGGUUUCUCAUAUUUUUAUACUAUGUGAGUUCAAUUCUUUCUUUUCCUUCGAAAUUUUUAUGUUUUGUGACUUUUACAACUAGGUCAACUAUUGAAUUCAUUAGUUUUUGAUUCCAUGGGUGAUUUUGUAAGUUACCAUGAAGAAUUUAUAGAAUUUUAUGAUGAAUUAUAAAUUAUUUUAAGCUUUAAUUUCAUUAUAUUAUGAUUUUAUUAAGUGAUUUUAGUAGAAAAUGAUUUUUAGGACCUAAUUGUGAAAAAGCUAGGAAUUAGGGUUUUGUACUGAAAUUAUGAAUAUAAAAGGCUGUAUAAUAGCCUAAAAUGAUUAGAUAAAGUGUUAUUUGAGGUAAAAUUUGUUCAAUUGAAGUGUUAAUUGAGUAGGGACUAAAUUGUAAAAAUUGUAAAUUUUGGGGUAAAAGUGUAAUUUCAAAAAUUGAAGGGCAUAAAUUUUGAAGUGAAUUAGUAUUGAAAUAGAUGCUAAUUAAUGGAAAAUUUCAUAUUAUAAAUCGGGAAUCUUAAGAUAAACAAGGAAAAGAAAAAGUCACUGAUUAGUCCCUGAAAUAUUACAACUCCUACAAAUAAGCCCAGGUAAGUUCAUACGGCUGAAAUUUUAUGAUUAAUUGUUAAUGUGGGAAUGAUUUAAUGUAUUAAUUCACUUAUUUUUGUUGAAUUAUGAUUAUUGUAAAAAUUUGAAAAUCAAACUGACUAAAUGCUAAAGUUACAUAUUUUAUGUAAUUAAAUUGGUUAAUUUAUGAGAGUGCACAUGAGAGUGCACCACUAAUUUUUCCAUGUUUACAUUGAAUUUUGUGCAGGGAUGCAAUUUGAGGCUAAAUAGAAGAAAAAGAAAACAAUUGGGCUAUAUUGAAGAAAGAAACAAAGGAGGGCCAAAGCAAAAUUUUUCCAAGAUUAAUUAGCUGAAAUUUUUGUUGACUUAGUGGAAGAUUAUUUUGGGAUUUUUUUUUUUAAUAUCAUGGAAUAUUUUUCCUUGAUUUUCUAUGAUAGUGGCUCUUAAUUUAGCAAGGCUACUAGUAUAAAUAGAUGCUAUAUUGUUCAUUUUAUUCAUUAAUUCAUAAAUCAAGCUUUCAUCUUUCAAUACAUUCUCUCUUUUCUACUCAAGAAUUUAUUUGUUGUUUUUAGUUUCCUUUACUUUCAAUCCAUUAAUUUCCAGCUUGUUACCACUUAAACCAUUACAAUUUCUUUUUCAAACUUUCUUCCAUUUCUAGUAGCUAACCCACUUUAAUACACCACCAAAAUUCUAGCCCCUCAUACUUAAUCACGCCACCCAUCCUUUUCACCCAUUUCACCUUAUUUAAUUUAUGCCCAAUGCCGAAAUGCCCCAAACCUUAGUUAACUAAAUCCAUUUUCAGCUUUAGGUCGAUGCAUGUAUCUGCAAAAGGAAAAAUUUUCUCCAAAAUAGGACUUGACCCUCAUGGUUUGCACAAUUCAACAAUUUAAUCCUAGCACAUUAACAUCUCAAGUAACCUAGCCUAAGAAGUAAGUAAAUAUAUUUAAGAAUUUAUUAGAGCUUGAUAGACUUACCUUUCAUUUUAUUAUUUUUGUACUUAGGACAUUUUCGAAUUUUUUGACGCAAGACAUGAUGACAAUCCAAGCUCCAUGUUCCGGUUACUCAAUUCGGACAUCUCUAAGCGUGUUAUUUCACCCUACUCAUGAUAACUUGUUAGCGGAGUGAGUGCAAAGAAAUUGGACAGCCACACGAACCUUUUUACGCGAGAUGUGAUGACAACCCAAGCACCACGUUCCGGUUACUCAGCCCGAUGUAAGUUCAAAUUAAGGGAUCCGCAGGAUUGAGUACAUACGUUUAAUAUCCAUUGACGAAUUAACGAAUAAGUCCAUGGUGGAUCCAUGGCAAAGUGUGGAACGUAGAUAUGGUAAUUUUGUAAAGAAAACCAUACUAAGUUGUGAAAUGUAGGUAUGGUAUUUCAGUAAUGAAAAUCAUACUAAGUUGUGAAAAGUAGGUUGGUAUUUCAGUGAAGAAAACCAUAUUGAGUUAUAGCAUUGUAAAGGAUUCAAACAAAUCGUGGCACCAAGCAAAUGGUGUACUCAAAUCCAUAAGAUGAUCCUUAAUUUAACAAGUAUUUGUAAGUGCAAUUGGAGCUAAAUGUUGGAAUAUAAGUUGAUAUUUGAUAUUGAGCUCAAUUGAGUAAAUUCAUUGUUUGAGAUUGUGGUUGGCAGGAAAUAUUGCAUACUUGUUUAUUAAAAAUGUUAGUGAAAUUUUGGUAAGAUUCUAUUAUGAGCCUAUGAACUUACUAAGCUUUCUGUAAGCUUACUUGUAUGUGUUUAUUAUUUCUUGUAGAUUGACGUAUAUAUAUGUUCGGGGGAUCGGAUCUACAUUAAGGAUCACACAAACCAGAUUUACUCCGGCAGAUUUUGUUAAACAACUUUUUGAUUUAUAUGGCAUGUAUAGGAAUUGAAGUAAUAAAGUAAUACUAUGAAUGAUUAAGCAUGCAAAGUAAAUCUGAAUGUGAUGGUUGAGGUAGAUAUUGAAAUAUACAUGUUUUAGCUUGAAAUGAUUGAUUGUGUUUAAGUCCGGUAAUGUCUCAUACCCUAUUCCGGCGUCGAACACGGGGAAGGGGUGUUACAGUAAGUCAAGUUAAUUUGACUCGGAUCAAUUUAAAAUGCGAAUGUCUUAUAAAUAUUGUGUAAGGUUUAAUGGUGUAAAAAGUUUUUAAACUGUUUCAAAAAAAAGUAAUUAAGUCUAUGUUUUUUUUUUUGCAUUCAAUUGGGUACUUAAUUUUCAAAAUGCAUCAAAAAGGACUUCAAAUUUUUUCAAAAAAAAACAAUUAAGCUUCUACUUUUUUUUUUUGGCACUUAAUUAGGUACUUGAGCUGCAAAAUGCAUGAAAAAGGCCGUCGAACUUUUUCAAAAAAACCAAUUAAGCUCCAGCUUUUUUUCUCACUCAAUUGGGUACUUGAACUACCAGAAUCAUAAAAAAGACCCUCAAACUUAAAAAAAGAAGUAGUUAACCUCUUUUUUUUUUGGCACUCGAUUGAGUACUUUAACUGCUAAAAUGCAUAAAAAGACCAUUUGAUCGUUAGCUUUAAUGUUUACCGUUAAAAUUAAUAGCUCUUAAUUUUUUUUCAGUUAAAGCCACCACGCGUCACAACCAUUGUGUGACAUGUGGUAAAAAAAUGAUAAAAAAUAAAAAUGAAUAAAAUUUAUAAAAAUGAAUAAAUUUUAAUAAAAAUAUUUAAAAUUUAUUAAAAAUAGAAUAAAACUAUAAAAAUUGUAAAAUAUAUAGAACUGUAAAAAUAUAUAAAAAUGUAAAAUAUAUAUAUAAAAUUAUUCCUAAAAAAAAUUAUAAAAUUUUAUAAAGUAGUAAGAAAAUUAUAAAAAAUGUAAAGAAAUAUAAAAUUUGUAAAAAAAUUAUAAAAAUUAUCUUACCAAAAGAAGUAUUUUAUAAUUUUCUAUAACUCUUAUUAAUUUUUAUUUUUUAUCAUUUUUUGUAGCAUAUCACGUUGUAUUGUUACAAAUGAUGGCUUUAACUUAAAAAAAAAAACAGAAAUCUAAUGUUUAAAGUUAAUGUUUAAAUGUUCUUUUUGAUACGUUUUAUAUUUUUUAUGAUUUUUAUAAAAGUUUACAAUCUUUAUAAUUUUUUUACAAUUUUAUAUUUUUUUUUCUCACACGUCACGUUGUGGUCGUGGCACGGGGUGACUUGAAAUGAAAAAAAUUAAGAGUUUGCGAUCAAAGAAAAUUUUUUGGAUGUAUUUUGACAGUUUAAGUACCCAAUUAAGUAAAAAAAAAGCAGGGCUUAAUUAUGUUUUAGAAAAUAUUAAUGCAGAUUAUAAAUAUAAAUUCAACUUAAAAAGAAAGUUUUGGGACUGAAAAACUUUUCUAGCACCCCGGAAUUCAAUACCUUCACAGCUUCCUCAGAUUUAAUACAAGAAGGCGUCUUGUAUUGGUUGAUAGAAGCCCCCUUUGAUACAUAAAAGUCCAUAAGCGCAUCAAAUGUUCCAUGCUUUACCACUCUUACCUCUAAUGCUGCAAUUUUAUUGGCCUCUCUAAGGGACUUAUAUGUGAAAUCCAAUGAUUCUUCUACUAUGGAGCAGCAUUGUUCCAUUAUCUUGGCAUCAAGUUUUAGGCAUCUAUUCCUUUCUUUGAACUUGAGUUCCCAAAACAAUACAUACCGGCCUGGUAUCGAUGAAGUCUCCGCAUAGCUACUGAAUGUCAUCAGUACGAAACCAAGUGGUUCAAGAUGGCGUUUUGCGUUCCCGAUGGCCUUCAAGAGGUCUUCCUCGCUUGUUUUGUCCAUAUCAAUACUCAAAAUAGUAUUCCGUCGUUCGACAAACUGGAACUGCGGAGAGUUGUUAUGGAAACCGGUUAACUUGAGAACGUCCCCAACUCGGUAUCGAUACAGGCCUGGAAAGACAAUUAAAACACUUUAUUAACCAAAACAAAUCUAAUAUUUCAAAUCUAAAACAGGAAAUGGGAAAUAUUACCCGCGAAAGUUGUGACGACAACCUCAUAAUAUUGACCGAGUUUCACAUUUGCAGAAUCAACAGGUUCAACAUUUCCAUUUGCAUUUUUCAUUUCCGACGACCAUUGGCUUGAAACACCAUCAAGAUUGGAUUCUCGAGCCUUCUCUUCCCCAUCUUUAUCCACAGGGAGAAACUCAAAGUAUGCCAUGUUUGGGAGAAAGGUGUAAGCGACAUCGUAGGGGUUGCUUAGAGGAUUUAAAUUGAUCCCGAAAGUAGACUCCGAAGAACCAUAACUUGGUGAAACUAAAGGGAUCCCACCACCAUAAAAAUCAAGCAAUGAAAUGUAUUGGCUCAUGGUACCAGUAAU